GAGUUUGAUCAUGGCUCAGAACGUACGCUGGCGGCACGCCUAACACAUGCAAGUCGAACGAAGUAGCAAUACUUAGUGGCAGACGGGUGAGUAACAUGUAGGUAUCUGCCCUUUGGCCUGGAAUAACACGAGGAAACUUGUGCUAAUACCGGAUAAGUCUUUACGGAGAAAGCUUUAUGCACCAUUGGAUGAGCCUGCACUUGAUUAGUUUGUUGGUGGGGUAAUGGCCUACCAAGACUGUGAUCAAUAGCUGAUUUGAGAGGAUGAUCAGCCACAUUGGGACUGAGACACGGCCCAAACUCCUACGGGAGGCAGCAGUGGGGAAUCUUGCACAAUGGAGGAAACUCCGAUGCAGCGAUGCCGCGUGAGUGAAGAAGGCCUUUGGGUUGUAAAGCUCUUUCGUCGGGGAAGAAAAUGACUGUACCCGAAUAAGAAGGUCCGGCUAACUUCGUGCCAGCAGCCGCGGUAAUACGAAGGGACCUAGCGUAGUUCGGAAUUACUGGGCUUAAAGAGUUCGUAGGUGGUUGAAAAAGUUAGUGGUGAAAUCCCAGAGCUUAACUCUGGAACUGCCAUUAAAACUUUUCAGCUAGAGUAUGAUAGAGGAAAGCAGAAUUUCUAGUGUAGAGGUGAAAUUCGUAGAUAUUAGAAAGAAUACCAAUUGCGAAGGCAGCUUUCUGGAUCAUUACUGACACUGAGGAACGAAAAGCAUGGGUAGCGAAGAGGAUUAGAUACCCUCGUAGUCCAUGCCGUAAACGAUGUGUGUUAGACGUUGGAAAUUUAUUUUCAGUGUCGCAGGGAAACCGAUAAACACACCGCCUGGGGAGUACGACCGCAAGGUUAAAACUCAAAUGAAUUGACGGGGACCCGCACAAGUAGUGGAGCAUGUGGUUUAAUUCGAAGAUACGCGCAGAACCUUACCAACACUUGACAUGUUCGUCGCGACUCUAAGAGAUUAGAGUUUUCGGUUCGGCCGGACGAAACACAGGUGCUGCAUGGCUGUCGUCAGCUCGUGUCGUGAGAUGUUGGGUUAAGUCCCGCAACGAGCGCAACCCUCACUUUUAGUUGCCAUCAUUAAGUUGGGCACUCUGAAAGAACUGCCAGUGAUAAGCUGGAGGAAGGUGGGGAUGACGUCAAGUCCUCAUGGCCCUUACGUGUUGGGCUACACACGUGCUACAAUGGUAUCUACAACAGGAAGCAAGACUGCGAAGUUAAGCAAAUCCCUAAAAGAUACCUCAGUUCGGAUUGCACUCUGCAACUCGAGUGCAUGAAGCUGGAAUUACUAGUAAUCGUGGAUCAGCGUGCCACGGUGAAUGCGUUCCCGGGUCUUGUACACACCGCCCGUCACACCAUGGGAGUUGGUUCUACCUUAAGGCAAGGUUUCAAACCCUUGACCACGGUAUAGUCAGCGACUGGGGUGAAGU
rnacentral:rRNA from 1 species